rnacentral:rRNA from 1 species
CCUACGGGAGGCAGCAGUGGGGAAUAUUGCACAAUGGGGGAAACCCUGAUGCAGCGACGCCGCGUGAGCGAUGAAGUAUUUCGGUAUGUAAAGCUCUAUCAGCCGGGAAGAAAAUGACGGUACCUGACUAAGAAGCCCCGUCUAACUACGUGCCCGCAGCCGCGGUACUACGCGGGGGGCAAGCGUUAUCCGGAUUUACUGGGUGUAAAGGGAGCGUAGACGGCUUGGCAAGCCAGAUGUGAAAGGCUGGGGCUCAACCCCAGGACUGCAUUUGCAACUGUCAUGCUAGAGUGUCGGAGAGGCAGGCGGAAUUCCUAGUGUAGCGGUGAAAUGCGUAGAUAUUAGGAAGAACACCGAUGGCGAAGGCAGCCUGCUGGACGAUGACUGACGUUGAGGCUCGAAAGCGUGGGGAGCAAACAGGAUUAGAUACCCCGGUAGUC